GCCUGGGUGGCUUAGUCAGUUAAGCAUCCGACUUCAGCUCAGGUCAUGAUCUUAGGGUCCGUGGGUUCGAGCCCCGCGUCGGGCU
rnacentral:tRNA from 1 species